rnacentral:piRNA from 1 species
ACUGAACAGACUUCCUGCUGCUGG